GUGACUCUGGAGAAUCUCGUUUUUGUUCGGGUACCGAAGGUGCAAGGCGGCACGGAAUGUCCGCCGAAUCUCUCAGGUAAAAGGACAGGGUAA
rnacentral:ncRNA from 1 species